UAUUAAAAAUUUCAUUCAUUUCUACUAUUAAAAACUGACGUGGCUGAUGAAAUAGCUAGAUAGUUACACCUGAUGUGUCACGUGUACCUCAUGUUGACAUAUAGAGACUAGUUUUUAACAGUAAAAAAUAGAUGAAAUUUUUAAUA
rfam:Gossypium hirsutum cultivar TM-1 unplaced genomic scaffold scaffold559.1, whole genome shotgun sequence